rnacentral:lncRNA from 10 species
GCUGGGGAUGUUGCAGCUGCGGCUGUGCUGCAUUUCUAUCCCAAGGACAACGAAGGCUACUGGUUCUGCUCCCUCUUUGUUCACAAAGUGGAUCCCUGGAAGGAUGCCCACUCUGCCCUGCUGUCCAAGAAGGAGACCAGCAACCUCUACAAGAUCCAGUUUCACAGUGAGAAGCCUGAGUGCCCGGAUGCCUAUAGUAGGCACUGAUGGAGGCAGCACUGUCCAUACUGCACUAGGAUGAGGACUACCCUGCUCCCUCAUGGGCAAGUGGAACACGUGCUGUAGGGAGCAGGACCAGGCACUGCACCUGUGGAGGUUCUCAGGUGGCUACUCAGCCCUCGCGGACUGCAUGACAAGGAGUACCUGGAGGUCCGGAAGGAGUGCAGCUGGAUGCUGUUGUCCAGGAGACACCAAUUGCUCCUUGAGUUCAGCUUCUGGAAUGAGCCAUAGCCCAGCGUGGACCCCAACAUCUUAUGAGCUGAGGACAUGCAAGCUGAAGCCAGGAACCAUGAUGGAGUAGGGGAACAAUUGGGGUCCUGCCAGCAGGUACCAGCAGCAAGUCCCAGCAGGAGAACCAGGAGGUGAUCGUGGCUCCUCCCAAAUAGGAGAGCUCCACCUUGUGCAUCAUCUCUGGUCCUAUAAAGACCCACAGUCUUGGGAGGAGACCCGAAGUGCUGCCUGCAGGAAGAGGGCUUGGGAUGAAAUGUCUAUUGUACAGUUCCCCUCGGGCAACACGUGGAGUCUUGGAUCCUCUUGAGGAUCCUCUUGAGGUCCUCUUGAAGACCUCACCUCUCCAG